rnacentral:rRNA from 1 species
CGUGUAGGCGGCCACUUAAGUCCUGCGUGAAAUCCUGCGGCUCAACCGCAGGCGGUCGUGGGAAACUGGGUGGCUAGAGUGCGGGAGAGGAGAGUGGAAUUCCUGGUGUAGCGGUGGAAUGCGCAGAUAUCAGGAAGAACACCCGUGGCGAAGGCGGCUCUCUGGAACGCAACUGACGCUGAGACGCGAAAGCGUGGGGAGCAAACAGGAUUAGAUACCCUGGUAGUCCACGCCGUAAACGAUGGACGCUAGGUGUGGGCGGUGUCGACUCCGUCCGUGCCGAAGCUAACGCAUUAAGCGUCCCGCCUGGGGAGUACGGCCGCAAGGCUAAA